rnacentral:rRNA from 1 species
AGUGAACGCUGGCGGUAGGCCUAACACAUGCAAGUCGAACGGCAGCACAGUAAGAGCUUGCUCUUACGGGUGGCGAGUGGCGGACGGGUGAGGAAUACAUCGGAAUCUACUUUUUCGUGGGGGAUAACGUAGGGAAACUUACGCUAAUACCGCAUACGACCUACGGGUGAAAGCAGGGGAUCUUCGGACCUUGCGCGAUUGAAUGAGCCGAUGUCGGAUUAGCUAGUUGGCGGGGUAAAGGCCCACCAAGGCGACGAUCCGUAGCUGGUCUGAGAGGAUGAUCAGCCACACUGGACUUGAGCCAAGGUACAGACUCCUACGGGAGGCAGCAGUGGGGAAUAUUGGAUAAUGGGCGCAAGCCUGAUCCAGCCCUACCGCGUGGGUGACGAAGGCCUUCGGGUUGUAAAGCCAUUUUGUUGGGAAAGAAAAGCAGCAGGUUAAUACCCCACUGUUCUGACGGUACCCAAAGAAUAAGCACCGGCUAACUUCGUG